GAAGGAUAUGAUGAAGCUUUUUUGACACCCGGUCUUAGUCCUAGGAUGAUGAAUUUUAUACAUGCACUACCAUCUGAUCUCAU
rfam:Populus trichocarpa scaffold_11_contig_149, whole genome shotgun sequence.